GCUUACGGCCACACCGGCCUGAGUACGCCUGAUCUCGUCCGAUCUCGGAAGCUAAGCAGGGUCGGGCCUGGUUAGUACUUGGAUGGGAGACCGCCUGGGAAUACCAGGUGUUGUAAGCU
ensembl:rRNA 5S_rRNA 5S ribosomal RNA